AACGAACGCUGGCGGCAUGCCUAACACAUGCAAGUCGAACGAGACCUUCGGGUCUAGUGGCGCACGGGUGCGUAACGCGUGGGAACCUGCCCUUAGGUUCGGAAUAACUCCCCGUAAGGGGUGCUCAUACCGGAUAAUGUCUUCGGACCAAAGAUCUAUCGCCUUUGGAUGGGCCCGCGUUGGAUUAGCUAGUUGGUAGGGUAAAAGCCUACCAAGGCGACGAUCCAUAGCUGGUCUGAGAGGAUGAUCAGCCACACUGGGACUGAGACACGGCCCAGACUCCUACGGGAGGCAGCAGUGGGGAAUAUUAGACAAUGGGCGAAAGCCUGAUCCAGCAAUGCCGCGUGAGUGAGGAAGGCCUUAGGGUUGUAAAGCUCUUUUACCCGGGAUGAUAAUGACAGUACCGGGAGAAUAAGCUCCGGCUAACUCCGUG
rnacentral:rRNA from 1 species